GAUGAACGCUGGCGGCGUGCCUAAUACAUGCAAGUCGAACGGAGAUUGUAGCAAUACGGUCUUAGUGGCGAACGGGCGAGUAACGCGUUGAUGACCUGCCCCGAAGUGUGGGAUACCAGUUCGAAAGGAUUGCUAAUACCGCAUGUGAUCAUUGGGUCUAGAAGCCGAUGAUUAAAGGAGAAAUUCGCUUCGGGAGGGAUCUGCGUCCCAUCAGCUAGUUGGUAGGGUAACGGCCUACCAAGGCGACGACGGGUAGGGGACCUGAGAGGGUGGACCCCCGCACUGGCACUGAAACACGGGCCAGACACCUACGGGUGGCAG
rnacentral:rRNA from 1 species